rnacentral:rRNA from 1 species
GACGUAGGGCGCGAGCGUUGUCCGGAUUUAUUGGGCGUAAAGAGCUCGUAGGCGGCUUGUCGCGUCGACUGUGAAAACCCGCCGCUCAACCGCGGGCCUGCAGCCGAUACGGGCAGGCUAGAGUUCGGUAGGGGAGACUGGAAUUCCUGGUGUAGCGGUGAAAUGCGCAGAUAUCAGGAGGAACACCAGUGGCGAAGGCGGCUUUCUGGCCCGUUCUUGACGCUGAGGCGCGAAAGCUAGGGUAGCAAACGGG